rnacentral:lncRNA from 1 species
GUGGAUCAUGGAUAAGUACUGACAUAAUAUUGUAGAAAUUUGCAUACAUCAUAUUUUACCAUGCAUGAAAAAAAUGCUAUAUUUUGCACCAACUUUAUUUUCAGUAGUGAAGUAUGGUAGAAUAUUUGUUUGUCGUGUUCUGUAAACAACAAUUCUAUUUUCAGGCCAAAGAGGGAGGAGGAGAUGAAGGACAAGGAGAUAG